AGACCGAAAUCCCCCCCUACCGCCGCCCAAGUUGCGGCUCUGCACUUGAUUUCUGGGGAGUGUUGGAAACAUGGCCAUAAAAAAAGAAUGGCGUCCAUUUACAUAAUGCUUUGUUUGCAUUUUGCAAGUUUCUUUUGGUUGAAUCUAGAGAAACCCCACCUCCUAGUGUCUUUUUAGUCGUGGCAGUCUUGCCAGACAUUUAAGACAAUGGUGUGCCUCUUGGGAACCGCAUUUUUUUAGGGGUCCCGAGUAGUGCGGGGGGGUGGUUCUUGAGAUUUUCCCCAUGCCGUUUAAGCUCCCGCUCUGCCUUUCUACCCUUGGUGCAGACGCCGCGCCCCGCUUUCUUCGGGGGCGGCCCCUGUCGGGCCCCGCCAUCUUGGAAGGCCUUUCUUGCAGUUCGCCAUCGCACGUUCCUCUCGCUAAAGAAAAGUCGUUUGGGUGGCUCGUAUGAAUUCAUUUAGGCCCAGAGAGAUGAAGUGACUAAUUCAAGGUCACACAGUGUGGAGGAUGGAAUCCUGACCUUCUGAUUUCCUUAUUGGUAAUCUCAACCUUUCUGACAGCUCCACUUAACCGUCUACAUAUGGAUGAUGCCCAGCUCUGUCUGCAGACCAGUGUCCAGCUGCUCACGUGGCCGGCAUCACAGGGAUAUUGUGCACACUCACCACCGUGUGGCCUCCUGCUCCUCCUUACUUGCCGCCUCACCUGGUGUCCUGUCACAUGGUGAAAAGUGGUCUUGUCACUAUAAUAUGGUAGUUGAGAAUGUGACUCUGAUAGAUAUGAUGUGAUAUGGCAUAUGACUCUGGAGCCCAUCUGCUGGGGCCUGAAUUCUGACUCAUCCACUUACUGUGUGACCUUGGUUGUGUGCUGCCCCAGACCUGUUUAUUAAAGAAGAAACACCAGGAGCCUUUAAUCUUUUCUCCCCUCCCCUAAUCUGAAAGUAAGGUAAUAGGAGAUCUCCAUUUUGGAGAAUGAAUUUCAUGUUUGGACUCAAGUCAUUCAGUUGCUUAGCUGUGGGAUGAAUAUGCUGUGAAAAGCAGUUUGGGACCAGAGUUCACGGCCUGACUCAGCGAUGAAACUGCUGCAUUCCCUAGUGUAGCUUCCCUGCUGGCUCUUCUCUGGAGGCGCCUUCUAAGUGCAUCUUAGUUUGAGGACUGCUCUGAAGGGCCAUUGUUAGUUUGGAAUGACAGGUUUUGUGUUCUUAAGAAACAAAUGAAGUGAUUGUGGUGGAUAUUUCCUUACUCCAGCCUGAGAGUAUUGGUGGGGUGUUGAUGGGGGGCAUUGAAUGGUAAUGAACACAUUGUGUUCUACCUGUGCCCUCAUCAGUUCUUUCUGGAACUCUUUUGUCCCAUCUAAUUUCUUCCCUCUAAUCAAGAUGGAGAAAGAGGAAUUCUUCUAUAACCGAGCUCUCAUAUAUCCCUGUGGCAGCUGUCAUUUGCCAAAGAUGUUGAAGAAGGGUAGCUGACUUUUACAUGGCAUGUGUUAUGUGCCAGCAACUGUUCCAAGCACCUUACAUUUAUCGUCUUUAUGAGAUUGGUUCUGUGUACUGAGUUGCAUAGUGUCCUCCCCAAAAUUCACAUCCACCCAGAACCUAUGAGUGUGAUCUUAUUUGGAAAUAGGAUCCUUGUAGAUGUAAGCAGGUUAAGAUGAAGUCAUACUGGGUUAGGAUGGGCCCUAAUCCAGUGACUGGUGUUCUUAUACGAAGAGGGAUACAUAGAGGGAAGAUGUCCAUGUGAAGAUGGAAGUGGAGAUUGGAGUUGUGCUGCCACAAACCAAAGAAUGUCAAGGAUUACUGGCAACCACCAAAAGCUGGAAAAGGCAAAGGAAGAUUCUCCCCUGGAGCCUUCACAGGGAGCAUGGUCCUGCUGAAACUUUGAUUUUGGACUUCUAGCCUCCAGAACUUUGAGAGAAUAAAUGUCCUUUGUUGGAAGACA